rnacentral:sRNA from 1 species
UUUCGCAGCCCUCAUGGCCGUUUCCUCCCUAGACUUCUGGCCGCUGCUGAAAGCGGCCCUCUUUUUAGCUUAU